UCCCUAGAAGAAUGGUUGCUGAUAUGGCUA
rnacentral:piRNA from 1 species